UUCAGCCUGGCGUAACUAUUGGCAACCGUACUAUUAUAAUGUGACAAGAUGUAGGGCCGCAUGGACAUAUACGAAUGGCGACCGAAACUGCGAUGUUCCCGUCUGCAAUCCAACGUGUGUUAACAAUGGAACGUGUACACAUCCAAACACAUGUACUUUCCCAAUCACAGCGCAAGGCAACAACUCCCGAACUUAAUUCAAUGAAGAGGUGCUUAGCCUUUGAUGCCAGCAAGAGGCCAUGCUUUGCUGAGGUCCAUCAUCAGUGUGACAGUCGCCUGUUUGCAGCAGCUUCAUGAGAUGACUAAUUCUUUAACAAACGAUUGCCAUUAUUUUGCGUGUUAGAUUUAAACAUACUAGUACCACUUGAUGCUUUAAUCGUUGAGUCAUUGUAUAACCGUUAUUACUAUUCGUGUGUCUCUCGAACUUACGCUUUGCUGAUCAUGAUUCAUUGAAACUGUAUAUGGACGCAAUAUUCUUGUUCGACAUAAUGAAUUUUCAUUUGGAUUUAACUAUUAACAUAUCGCUGUUGAGAUGUAUCCCCUUCUGUGUAAAUAAAAACACUUAGGAUGAAUACAAAAAUCUCAUUUACGUUUAAGAUUAAUUUUUUAAAACAAAAUGGCAUUAAUAUUUCUAAUCAAAAGUAUUCAGAUUUACAUACAGGAAUUACAUUACAUCUUUUCAAAACUAUUUGAUAAGAAUUUGUCAAUAAUGCUUUCUUUCAAUAGUGUCAGAAUAUUCUGAACUUGUCCCUAUGUGUUUGCAUUUGCAGUGUAUUAACGUUGGUUCUUUCAGCACCAUAUAUUUCCUUGUUAAAGGAAUAGAAAACGUAUGCGUUUAUGUU